CUACAGAGGACACCAAACAAUGAGUUUUAUAAGAUUUAUCUCAAAGACACCUGAUGAGUUCACUAGGAAGAUGCUAGCAUAACCCCACUGUGCAUGUUGCAGGGCUGGGGAGGACCCAAAACACCAGAAAACUUCUCUAGGGUCACAGAACUGGUAAGAUCAAGGAGGUUUGGCCCAGCACUGUCUCCUCAAACCUAGGGCCUUAGUUCCCUCCAGGUCUUCCCAAGGUGAUGAGGGGGCAUGUUUUUUGCAUAAUUUGGAACAGUAUGAAAAUCAGACUUACAGGGUGCGAACAUUCCAGAUAUGUACAGGGGAGAAGCUGGUGAAGGCCCUGGUUCCAGCCUUUCUGGGUAGAACCAUCUCCUCCUAUGCCACCUGACUGGGCCCCUCCUGGGACUUCAUCACCGUGCUAGACAUCAUGGAGGAACUGUUUACCAG
rnacentral:lncRNA from 1 species